AGUGAACGCUGGCGGUAGGCUUAACACAUGCCAGUCGAACGGCAGCACAGUAAGAUCGUGCUCUUACGGGUGGCGGGUGGAGGGCGGGUGAGGAAUACAUCGGAAUCUACUUUUUCGUGGGGGAUAACGUAGGGAAACUUACGCUAAUACCGCAUACGACCUACGGGUGAAAGCAGGGGAUCUUCGGACCUUGUGCGAAUGAAUGAGCCGAUGUUGGAUUAGCUAGUUGGCGGGGUAAAGGCCCACCAAGGCGACGAUCCGUAGCUGGACUGAGAGGAUGAUCGGCCACACUGGAACUGAGACACGGUCCAGACUCCUACGGGAGGCAGCAGUGGGGAAUAUUGGGCAAUGGGCGCAAGCCUGACCCAGCCAUACCGCGUGGGUGAAGAAGGCCUUCGGUUUGUAAAGCCCUUUUGUUGGGAAAGAAAAGCUGCAGGUUAAUACCACGCUGUAGUGACGGUACCCAAAGAAUAAGCACCGGCUAACUACGUG
rnacentral:rRNA from 1 species